UACGGAGGGAGCUAGCGUUGUUCGGAAUUACUGGGCGUAAAGCGCACGUAGGCGGCUUUGUAAGUUAGAGGUGAAAGCCUGGGGCUCAACCCCAGAAUUGCCUUUAAGACUGCAUCGCUUGAAUCCAGGAGAGGUGAGUGGAAUUCCGAGUGUAGAGGUGAAAUUCGUAGAUAUUCGGAAGAACACCAGUGGCGAAGGCGGCUCACUGGACUGGUAUUGACGCUGAGGUGGACGAAAGCGUGGGGAGCAAACAGG
rnacentral:rRNA from 1 species